rnacentral:rRNA from 1 species
GUACUUACUCCUACGGGAGGCAGCAGUGGGGAAUUUUGGACAAUGGGCGCAAGCCUGAUCCAGCCAUUCCGCGUGAGUGAAGAAGGCCUUCGGGUUGUAAAGCUCUUUCGCAAGGGAAGAAAACUUACCUUUUAAUAAAGGGUGAGGUUGACGGUACCUUGAUAAGAAGCACCGGCUAACUACGUGCCAGCAGCCGCGGUAAUACGUAGGGUGCGAGCGUUAAUCGGAAUUACUGGGCGUAAAGCGUGCGCAGGCGGUUUUGUAAGUCAGAUGUGAAAUCCCCGGGCUCAACCUGGGAACUGCGUUUGAAACUGCAAGGCUAGAGUGUAGCAGAGGGGGGUAGAAUUCCACGUGUAGCAGUGAAAUGCGUAGAGAUGUGGAGGAAUACCAAUGGCGAAGGCAGCCCCCUGGGUUAACACUGACGCUCAUGCACGAAAGCGUGGGGAGCAAACAGGAUUAGAAACCCGGGUAGUCCAGGCAU